rnacentral:rRNA from 1 species
ACACGUAAACAACCUGCCUUCAGGAUGGGGACAACAGACGGAAACGACUGCUAAUACCGAAUAAGUUCCAAGAGCCGCAUGGCCCAUGGAAGAAAAGGUAGGCCUCUACCUGUAAGCUAUCGCCUGAAGAGGGGUUUGCGUCUGAUUAGCUGGUUGGAGGGGGUAACGGCCCACCAAGGCGACGAUCAGUAGCCGGUCUGAGAGGAUGAACGGCCACACUGGAACUGAGACACGGUCCAGACUCCUACGGGAGGCAGCAUG